ACGCUCGACACCUACGGGAGACAGCAGUGGGGAAUAUUGCACAAUGGGGGAAACCCUGAUGCAGCGACGCCGCGUGGAGGAAGAAGGUCUUCGGAUUGUAAACUCCUGUUGUUGGGGAAAAAGAGGAUGGUACCCAACAAGGAAGUGACGGCUAACUACGUGCCAGCAGCCGCGGUAAUCUGAGGCGGGCUGGACAAGGC
rnacentral:rRNA from 1 species